rnacentral:rRNA from 1 species
CCAGACUCCUACGGGAGGCAGCAGUGGGGAAUAUUGCACAAUGGGGGGAACCCUGAUGCAGCGACGCCGCGUGAGGGAAGAAGGUUUUCGGAUUGUAAACCUCUGUCCUCUGUGACGAUAAUGACGGUAGCAGAGGAGGAAGCCACGGCUAACUACGUGCCAGCAGCCGCGGUAAUACGUAGGUGGCGAGCGUUAUCCGGAAUUACUGGGUGUAAAGGGAGCGUAGGCGGGGGAACAAGUUGAAUGUUUAAGAUAUGGGCUCAACUCAUAUAAGCGUUCAAAACUGUUUUUCUUGAGUGAAGUAGAGGUAAGCGGAAUUCCUAGUGUAGCGGUGGAAUGCGUAAAUAUUAGGAGGAACACCAGUGGCGAAGGCGGCUUACUGGGCUUUAACUGACGCUGAGGCUCGAAAGCGUGGGUAGCAAACAGGAUUAGAUACCCCUGUA